rnacentral:rRNA from 1 species
UACGGAGGGUGCAAGCGUUGUCCGGAAUCACUGGGCGUAAAGGGCGCGUAGGCGGCCUGGUAAGUAGGGGGUGAAAUCCUGCGGCUUAACCGCAGGGCUGCCUUCUAAACUGUCAGGCUUGAGCACGGUAGAGGCAGAUGGAAUUCCCGGUGUAGCGGUGGAAUGCGUAGAGAUCGGGAAGAACAUCAGUGGCGAAGGCGGUCUGCUGGGCCGUUGCCGACGCUGAGGCGCGACAGCGUGGGGAGCAAACAGG